AGGGUGCAAGGUGGAUGUCUAGGCGUGAUGAGGCGAUGAAGGACGUGGUAGGCUGCGAUAAGCCCAGGGGAGCUGCCAAACGAGCGUUGAUCCUGGGAUCUCCGAAUGGGGAAACCCACCGUCACUGUGAAAGCAGAUGGCGGUACCGGCGGGUGAAUGCAUAGCCCGUCGGGGCGAACGCAGGGAACUGAAACAUCUCAGUACCUGCAGGAAAGGAAAUCAACCGAGACUCCGUGAGUAGCGGCGAGCGAAAGCGGAUGAGCCCAAACCUCGCACCUUCGGGUGCGGGGGGUUGCGGACGUCGAUCUGGAGUUACAAAGGCAGCGGUAGCCGAAGAGUCUGGAAAGGCUCACGAUACAGGGUGACAGUCCCGUAGGCGACGCCGCGAGCCCUCCAUUAUGGUCGACGAUCCAGAGUAGCGCGGAUGCCGUGGAACUCCGCGUGAAGCUGGGGGGCCCACCCUCCAAGGCUAAGUACUCCAUCACGACCGAUAGUGGACCAGUAGGGCGACUGAACGAUGAAAAGAACCCCUAUUAGGGGAGUGAAAAGUACCUGAAACCUUGCACCUACAAGUGGUCGGAGCCCUAUGGGCCGGUCUUCGGACCGGUCAAUGGGUGACGGCGUACCUUUUGCAUAAUGGGCCGGCGAGUUACCAUCUGCGGCUGCCUAAGUGGUUAAGCCACGGAGGCGUAGCGAAAGCGAGUCUGAAUAGGGCGUCGUUCAUCCACUUAUAGUGGAUGAACAGGUCGCAGGUGGUAGACCCGAAACCGAGUGAUCUACCCAUGGCCAGGCUGAAUCCCGAGUAAAAUCGGGAGGAGGGCCGAACCCGUCCACGUUGAAAAGUGGUGGGAUGAGCUGUGGGGAGGAGUGAAAGUCUAAUCAAACUCGGAGAUAUCUGGUUCUCUCCGAAAUAGCUUUAGGGCUAGCCUCGAGUAACUACAUCGCGGGGGUAGAGCACUGGAUGAAAUGCGGGGCCCACCAGGCUACCGCCUUCAACCAAACUCCGAAUACCGCGAUGUGUAUCUCGGGAGUCAGACUGCGGGGGAUAAGCUCCGUAGUCAAGAGGGAAACAGCCCAGACCGUCGGAUAAGGUCCCUAAACGAUGCUAAGUGGUUAAGGAAGUCGAAUUGCUGAGACAGCCAGGAUGUUGGCUUAGAAGCAGCCACCAUUUAAAGAUCGCGUAAUAGCCCACUGGUCGAGCAAUUCGGCGCCGAUAAUGAUCGGGGCUUAAGCAUCGUACCGAAGCCGCGGAUCUGUUCAGUGUUUCACUGAACAGGUGGUAGGAGAGCGUUGCUGUCAGCGCUGAAGCGGUACCGUGAGGAGCCGUGGAGCGGCAGCAAGUGAGAAUGCCGGCAUGAGUAACGAUAAAGCAGGUGAAAAUCCUGCUCGCCGAAAGCCUAAGGUUUCCUGGGGAAGGUAAAUCCGCCCAGGGUUAGUCGGACCCUAAGUCGAGGCCGAAAGGCGUAGACGAUGGACAGCAGGUUAAUAUUCCUGCACUGCGCGCCGGAGGUUUGUACCAGAGGGGUGACGCAUCACCAAGGUAGAUCGCGCGAUUAGUCGUGCGCGUUGGGGGCGGCGUGGUGGUCGGAUUAAUAGUUCGACCGCAACCCACGCCGUCAGCUCGAGGCCGAUUUGUUGCCGAAGUCUGCGGAGGUGGUGCCGAGAAAAACCUCGCUGGGACGAAGGCGCGUAUCCGUACCAAAACUGACACAGGUAGGCGAGGAGAGUAUCCUAAGGCGCUCGAGAGAACCGUCCUCAAGGAACUAGGCAACUUGACCCCGUAACUUCGGGAGAAGGGGUCCCUCCUCGUUCGGUUGCAUUUAUGUAACCGAGCGAGAGGGCGCAGAGAAUCGGCUCUGGCGACUGUUUAUCAAAAACACAGGACUCUGCUAACUCGUAAGAGGAUGUAUAGAGUCUGACGCCUGCCCGGUGCCGGAAGGUUAAGGAAGCAGGUUAGCCGACCUUCGGGUUGGCGAAGCUUGCGACCGAAGCCCCGGUAAACGGCGGCCGUAACUAUGACGGUCCUAAGGUAGCGAAGUUCCUUGUCGGGUAAGUUCCGACGCGCAUGAAUGGCGUAACGACCGGAGCGGUGUCUCGAGGACGGACUCGGUGAAAUUAUAGACGCGGUGAAGAUACCGCGUACCCGCGGCAAGACGGAAAGACCCCGUGAACCUUUACUGCAGCCUGGUAUUGGUAACUUGUUGUACAUGCGUAGGAUAGGUGGGAGGCGAUGAAGCCUCGGUUCCGGCCGGGGCAGAGCCGUCCUUGAAAUACCACCCUUGUGCAAUGGGUUACCUAACCCCGACCCGUGAAUCCGGGCGGGGGACAGUGCUAGGUGGGCAGUUUGACUGGGGCGGUCUCCUCCUAAAAGGUAACGGAGGAGUUCAAAGGUCUCCUCAGCACGGUUGGCAAUCGUGCGUUGAGUGCAAAGGCAUAAGGAGGCUUGACUGCGAGACCCAUAAGUCGAGCAGGUGCGAAAGCAGGACUUAGUGACCCGGUGGUCCCGUGUGGAAGGGCCAUCGCUUAACAGAUAAAAGGUACUCCGGGGAUAACAGGCUGAUCUCCCCCGAGCGUCCAAAGCGACGGGGAGGUUUGGCACCUCGAUGUCGGCUCGUCGCAUCCUGGGGCUGAAGGCGGUCCCAAGGGUUUGGCUGUUCGCCAAUUAAAGCGGCACGCGAGCUGGGUUCAGACCGGCGUGAGCCAGGUCGGUCCCUAUCUGCCGUGGGCGUAGGAAUCUUGAGGGGAUCCUUCCUUAGUACGAGAGGACUGGGAAGGACCGACCUCUGGUGUACCAGUUGUCGCGCUAGCGGCACGGCUGGGUAGCUAUGUCGGGAAAGGAUAACCGCUGAAGGCAUCUAAGCGGGAAGCCCACCCCAAGAUUAGGAUUCCAUGUCGUCUUCGGACGACGAGAGCCCCCUGGAAGACUACCAGGUUGAUAGGCCGGAGGUGUAAGGUCAGAAAUGGCCUUAGCUAACCGGUACUAACGGGCGAUCGCUUG
rnacentral:rRNA from 1 species